GUGAGGAAUAUUGGUCAAUGGGCGGGAGCCUGAACCAGCCAAGUCGCGUGAAGGAAGAAGGAUCUAUGGUUCGUAAACUUCUUUUGCAGGGGAAUAAAGUGCAGGACGUGUCCUGUUUUGUAUGUACCCUGAGAAUAAGGAUCGGCUAACUCCGUGCCAGCAGCCGCGGUAAUACGGAGGAUCCGAGCGUUAUCCGGAUUUAUUGGGUUUAAAGGGUGAGUAGGUGGUUUGAUAAGUCAGCGGUGAAAGUUUGCAGCUUAACUGUAAAAAUGCCGUUGAAACUGUCGGACUUGAGUGUAAAUGAGGUAGGCGGAAUGCGUGGUGUAGCGGUGAAAUGCAUAGAUAUCACGCAGAACUCCGAUUGCGAAGGCAGCUUACUAAGCUACAACUGACACUGAAGCACGAAAGCGUGGGGAUCAAACAGGAUUAGAUACCCUUGUAGUCC
rnacentral:rRNA from 1 species